rnacentral:rRNA from 1 species
GUCUAUUGCCAUGCCACCCUGAACAAGCCCAAUCUCGUCUGAUCUUGGAAGCUAAGCAGAGUGAGGCCUGGUUAGUACUUGGAUGGGAGACCACCUAGGAAGAACAGAUGCUGUAGGCA